rnacentral:rRNA from 1 species
GACGUAGGAUCCGAGCGUUGUCCGGAGUUACUGGGCGUAAAGGGCGCGCAGGCGGACACGCGCAUCGGCGGUGAAAGCCCCCCGCUCAACGGGGGAGGGUCCGUCGAGAUGGCGUGUCUGGAGGCAGGGAGAGGCCAGUGGAAUUCCGGGUGUAGUGGUGAAAUGCGUAGAGAUCCGGAGGAACACCAGUGGCGAAGGCGGCUGGCUGGACCUGACCUGACGCUGAGGCGCGAAGGCGUGGGGAGCGAACGGG